ACGAAGACGUUUUGUGUUUCGUCUUCCUAUCCGCCUUUGGCGGAAUGGUAAACUUGGCUAUAUGCUGGAAAGUCCGUCGUAUCCAACAGUACUAAAUUAUUAUUUAGUGAAAAUCUGUUUGGUGCGGAUAAUCAGCAGGCAACCUCAAAUUGCGUAAUUUGAGAGAGUCCUCAGAGACUAUACGCCAAGCUACAUGCUUUAAGCUUGUAGAAGAUAUAGUCCGAUCUGUAUAGCGAUAUACAG
rnacentral:ncRNA from 1 species